rnacentral:rRNA from 1 species
CCUACGGGAGGCAGCAGUGAGGAAUAUUGGUCAAUGGGCGUAAGCCUGAACCAGCCAAGUCGCGUGAGGGAUGAAGGUUCUAUGGAUCGUAAACCUCUUUUAUAAGGGAAUAAAGUGUGGGACGUGUCCUGUUUUGCAUGUACCUUAUGAAUAAGGAUCGGCUAACUCCGUGCCAGCAGCCGCGGUAAUACGGAGGAUCCGAGCGUUAUCCGGAUUUAUUGGGUUUAACGGGUGCGUAGGCGGCCUUUUAAGUCAGCGGUGAAAGUCUGUGGCUCAACCAUAGAAUUGCCGUUGAAACUGGUAGGCUUGAGUAUGUUUGAGGCAGGCGGAAGUCGUGGUGUAGCGGUGAAAUGCUUAGAUAUCACGCAGAACCCCGAUUGCGAAGGCAGCCUGCCAAGCCAUGACUGACGCUGAUGCACGAAAGCGUGGGGAUCAAACAGGAUUAGAUACCCUUGUAGUC